rnacentral:rRNA from 1 species
GAUGAACGCUGGCGGCGUGCAUAACACAUGCAAGUCGAACGGGGUGGUUCCUUCGGGGAUCACUUAGUGGCGAACGGGUGAGUAACGCGUGAGAAACCUGCCUUUCAGUGGGGGACAACAGUUGGAAACGACUGCUAAUACCGCAUAAUGUUAUCGAGCGGCAUCGCUUGAUAACCAAAGCUUUAUGUGCUGAAAGAUGGUCUCGCGUCUGAUUAGCUAGUUGGUGAGGUAACGGCUCACCAAGGCGACGAUCAGUAGCCGGUCUGAGAGGAUGAACGGCCACAUUGGGACUGAGAUACGGCCCAGACUCCUACGGGAGGCAGCAGUGGGGAAUAUUGGGCAAUGGGGGAAACCCUGACCCAGCAACGCCGCGUGAAGGAAGAAGGCCUUCGGGUUGUAAACUUCUUUUACCAGGGACGAAGAACGUGACGGUACUUGGAGAAAAAGCAACGGCUAACUACGUG